UGUUGGGUUGAAAUCACGACAGACGAAUGGUGGGUGUCAAAGGAGAGGCGUCUGCCCGGGGCAAGUCCCGGGGACUCUCUUUUAUUGAAUAUUACAAACAUUGCCACAGGUGUGCUUGUGGCUGAUUGGCUGAUACAAACACAAAGCAUCUUGUUGCUGAUUGGUUAACAUAGGUACAAGGCGGGCAUUACAUUUUACAUUAAUCAGUGAUAGUUCAAAAGACUGGGAGCGGAGCUGGAACUAGACAGGCAUGAAUCCUCCUAAUUAAAUUGUAACUAAGAUUAAUAUAACAUGACUAAAACAAUUACUAAUGAUUGAUCAUAAGUGAAAGGUCCGUAUAUGUGGUCAGCUAUGCAUUGAGAACAGAGCAUGUUGUGAACUCAGAAUGAACUGAAGAAUUGAGGGAUUGUCUGGGUGUCCUGAGCUUGGUGUGUUUGGAACAGUAUGUGCAGAGCAGAAGGAGACUUCCCAGAAUCCAAGAGGAAAGAAGCAAGAGUUUUCAUAGUAAGCAUAGAAAGAUUGCAUAGUAAGAGUUCCCAUAAUGCCACAGUUAUGUGCAGUAAGAGAACUGCAGAAAGAGAACUUCCCUUCAUCUCCCCCUUUCUUUUCUUGUUUGCGAGGCAUUCCAGGUGGAUAAGGCAAAAAUACUUCGGGAUUAGUGGUGUGCCAGCGAAUGCCCGAAAUAAGCCUGCCAGGGUUGGUGGGACAAAAGUACUUCAGGAUACGUGGUUUGCCAGCGCAUGCCCAAAAUAAAUCCGCCCACAUCUCCCCUAAGGUUCACUGUUGGUGUUGCCAUUUCGCAAUGUAAGCAGCAAGCAGUUUGCUGGGUGGUGGAGGGGGGGAGAGAAGCCGAGAGAAAAGACUCAUGAGGCUGGGAACGCAUUGGAGGAAACAGCAUAGU